UACGUAGGGACCGAGCGUUGUCCGGAAUCAUUGGGCGUAAAGAGCGUGUAGGCGGCUUGGUAGGUCCGCUGUGAAAACUCGAGGCCCAACCUCGAGAUGUCGGCGGAGACCACUUGGCUAGAGUCCGGAAGAGGAGAGUGGAAUUCCCGGUGUAGCGGUGAAAUGCGCAGAUAUCGGGAGGAACACCGGUGGCGAAGGCGGGUCUCUGGGCAGUAACUGACGCUGAGGAGCGAAAGCGUGGGGAGCAAACAGG
rnacentral:rRNA from 1 species